AAGUACGACUCUCGGCAACGGAUAUCUCGGCUCUCGCAUCGAUGAAGAACGUAGCGAAAUGCGAUACGUGGUGUGAAUUGCAGAAUCCCGUGAACCAUCGAGUCUUUGAACGCAAGUUGCGCCCGAGGGACCCUCCCGAGGGCACGCCUGCCUCAUGGGCGUUAGAAGCCC
rnacentral:rRNA from 1 species